CAGGUAGGACUACCCACUUAAGCAUAUCUA
rnacentral:rRNA from 1 species